rnacentral:rRNA from 1 species
CGCGAGUGGAUGCCAAUCCCCAAAACCUCUCUCAGUUCGGACUGGAGUCUGCAACCCGACUCCACGAAGCUGGAUUCGCUAGUAAUCGCGCAUCAGCCACGGCGCGGUGAAUACGUUCCCGGGCCUUGUACACACCGCCCGUCAAGCCAUGGGAGCCGGGGGUACCUGAAGUGCGUAACCGCGAGGAGCGCCCUAGGGUAAAACUGGUGACUGGGGCUAAGUCGUAACAAGGUAUC